rnacentral:rRNA from 1 species
GAGUUUGAUCUUGGCUCAGGACGAACGCUGGCGGCGUGCCUAAUACAUGCAAGUCGAACGAAACUUUCUUACACCGAAUGCUUGCAUUCACCGUAAGGAGUUGAGUGGCGGACGGGUGAGUAACACGUGGGUAACCUGACCUAAAAGAAGGGAUAACACUUGGAAACAGGUGCUAAUACCGUAUAUCUCUAAGGAUCGCAUGAUCCUUAGAUGAAAGAUGGUUCUGCUAUCGCUUUUAGAUGGACCCGCGGCGUAUUACUAGUUGGUGGGUACGCCUACCAAGGUGAUGAUACGUAGCCGAACUGAGA